GACGAACGCUGGCGGCGUGCUUAACACAUGCAAGUCGAGCGGUAAGGCCCUUUCGGGGGUACACGAGCGGCGAACGGGUGAGUAACACGUGGGUGACCUGCCCUCAGCUCUGGGAUAAGCCUGGGAAACCGGGUCUAAUACCGGAUAUGACUCCAUGACGCAUGUUGUGGGGUGGAAAGCCUUGUGCGGCUGAGGAUGGGCCCGCGGCCUAUCAGCUUGUUGGUGGGGUGAUGGCCUACCAAGGCGACGACGGGUAGCCGGCCUGAGAGUGCGACCGGCCACACUGGGACUGAGACACGGCCCAGACUCCGUACGGGAGGCAGCAGGUGGGGAAUCUUGCGCAAUGGGCGAAAGCCUGACGCAGCCAUGCCGCGUGAGUGAAGAAGGUCUUAGGAUUGUAAAGCUCUUUCGCUCGUGACGNUGAUGACGGUAACGAGAGAAGAACG
rnacentral:rRNA from 1 species